ensembl:lncRNA
CCUCACACCACACACACACGUCAGGGGGUCCUCACACCACACGGGACACACACACAUCAGGGGGUCCUCACACCACACGGGACACACACACAUCAGGGGGUCCUCACACCACACGGGACACACACACGUCAGGGGGUCCUCACACCACACAGGACACACACACAUCAGGGGGUCCUCACACCACACGGGACACACACACAUCAGGGGGUCCUCACACCACACAGGACACCAGGGCAGCUCCAUUAUGGGAAGAAUCAGAAUCAUGAUGAUUUUGGUCAACAUUGAAAUCUCGAUUAUUCAAACGAUUAUUUUUCAGGUUGAAAACAUGAUGCAUUUAUUCAUCAUUUCUCUUUAAAAAGAAACACUUUGUAAAUGAGAACUUUGAAACUUCUAUGUCCAGAUAUGGAUCAAGCUGUUCUGCAAUUUCUAUAAAGAAAGAAAAUAAUAAUAAUAUUGUUUCAACUCGAUUAUAUUAGUUUGGUGAUCGUUACACGCUGAAAUCGAAAUGGCCCAGCCCUAGGUGACACCACACCACCAGGGGACACCACCCGGGGACACCACCCGGGGACACCACACUCACCCGGCUGGCGUUGGUUCCUCUCCUGGCGGCGACAGCGACUGCUCCGGACACGACAAACUGCGGGGACAAGGCAGCGGUGGGAGGGAGAAGGAGAUCCCUGAUGCACACUGAUGUUAAGAGCUGAGAUCCCUUCUAAAGGUCCCGUGACACCCCACCAGGCCUGGUGGGGUUAGCCGUUACACGCAGUUUGGAAAAUCUGCCUCUUGUGGCAUCACAAGUGGGCGUGUCCACCUAGAUGUGUGGUAGAUAGACCAGUCGGCCAGCCUUCCCAGUGCCCUGUAGCAAACGUUGCUCAUCUAUCCAUCACUCACACCCGGUGGCAUGUCAUGGGACAUUUAAAUGUUAACCCAGAAAUAAUUCAUCUAAAUUCAUCGACACUCAUCUGUGAAAUCCUGUUAGCUGCUUCCCUCACCGAUAAUAAUGCAGCUCAUUCAGGCCACACACACACACACACACACACACACACACACACACACACACACACACACACACACACACACACACACACACACACACACACACACACACACACACACACACACUUACAAUGAUACUGGCGAGGAGGGGCAGCGACAUGAUCUGGCUGGGAUCCAGGAAGCCAAUCAGACCGCUGCACACACACACCGCGCCAAUGAACAUCUGUGCAAUCUGAGGCCACACACACACACACACACACACACACACACACACACACACACACACACACACACACACACACACACACACACACACACACACACACACAUGGGGACAAACAUUAAUGGGGACAAUCUGAAGACACAAAUGCGCACACACACAAUUAUAUAUCUUCAGUAUAAAUUAUGCUACACUUGAACCUCCUAAAAUGGCGCAAUUUAAUUGGUUUGCUAUCUCUGGAUAUUGGGCAAUAACCCACGAUUGAGAGCUCAAACACGGGAUAUUGUUUUCAUCGCAAAAUGUCGUUUGUGACAGUCGUCUCGGUACGCUUAUAAAAACAAAUAAACCGCUAAUAAAAACAACAAAAAGUGUUAUCUAUUUUUGGAGUGUUCACGUGUAGUAGGCUAUAUAUAUACUAAAACAAUGAUUCACCUCAUGCUCCCUGGAUAGUGGGGAAUAGCCCCCUCGACGUAAUAUAGACAGCAUAUAUACAGAAAACUGUUCUCAGUGGAGGAUUCUGUAUGGUCCACCGUCAGGAGCUGUUCAGAGCAGACCCCCCCUGGGACUGACUUGGCCUGGGGCAAACGGUGGGAGGGGUCUACAGCGCCAGCGGACCCCAUGUCUCCCCCCGUCUGCCCGAACGGGCAUUUCAUUCGAUUCAGCCUCAUAUUUGUGAGCUCUUGUUAUCAGGCUGGCCGUGAGGGGCGGGGCCAUGGCCGUGGAGGCGGGCCAAGCACCAUCUCUCCCAGACCUUGUCGCUGCAUUUUGAGCCUGGCAGCCUGGUUCAACACACGCAACACACGCCUCUCCCCAGGGGUUGUGAGUCGUUUCAGCUGACCGCAAUGGACCUCUGAAGAAUAAGUCGACAGGAUUUUUGGAUUGUCGGUUAUUAAUGCUACAUUAACGGCACCGACAAUCCAAAAAACCCGCUCGAAACAAGAUGGAAAAAAUGUGUAGGCCUAGGCUACUUCAAAACGUGACGAAGCUUUCACUUCUACGCCACCUACGGAGUUUGUUACGAUCAUUCAAAAACCCCACGUCUAUUUCCCAUAGACAUUUGACCGAGGGAACCGGGAGCCUCGGAGGCUGGACUUAUUCUUCAGAGGACUAUGAGCUGCUAAUAAUGUAAUGCUUAUAAUUGCUCUUGAACAUGUUGCAUCCACAAAACAUGACACUGGGCAGUAGGCGCGUCUCACCCCGAGGAACUGCGGCUGGCCUCGGAGGAAGGUGGCCGUCAUCUCGGACACUUUGACGGGGUUGUAGACCGGGGAGUCCGGCGGGUGCGGGGCGCUCCUCCCCGGGCCAGGUGUCCCUGCCUCCCGGGUAUCUGCUCCGGGGAACACCUGCGUGACCACCACCAUGCCGUUCACCUUGGUGAUGGUGCUGCUGCUGCUGCCGUCCAUCGCGACUAUAGAUCAGAUCAGAAUGAAACUUAAAGAUAAGAUCUGUGGACAUCUCCAGGAGAGCAGACAACUAACGGAGGUCGCACAAUGCGUUUCAUUUCCAUAACAAAAACACAUAAUAGCAGCUUAUAAACUACACCCAAAGACUUAUGAACUGUAAUUUACGAUAAAAGUAUACAGAUAUACCACUCAACAUACUCAGAAUGUUCACUUGCUGGUAUAAAUUGAGACCGCGUCUUCCUUGUUUCCCGUGUUUAAUACGGAAGUAUUGCGCAGUUUAAUCUGCCUCUGACAAACAACAUUUACUGGAAGAGGACCUCCCUUCAUUAAAGAGACAGUCUGAACUAUUAAAGAGACAGUCUCAGGUAUUAGAGAGAAAGUCCGAGCUAUUAGAGACAGUCUGAACUAUUAUAGAGACAGUCUGAACUAUUAGAUUGACGGUGUGAACUACCAGAGAGACAGUCUGAACUCUUAAAGAGACCGUCUGGACUCUUAAAGAGACCAUCUGAACUCUUUCAUUCACUGAGUUAUUAAAGAGACAAUCUGAAGUGUUUGCACAGAAAUUGUUGUCAGAUACAGAUAUGAAUAUAGCCUGUAUGCAGGCCUAUAUAAUCCAUAUAAAUAAC